GAUGAACGCUGGCGGCGUGCCUAAUACAUGCAAGUCGAGCGAACAGACGAGGAGCUUGCUCCUCUGACGUUAGCGGCGGACGGGUGAGUAACACGUGGAUAACCUACCUAUAAGACUGGGAUAACUUCGGGAAACCGGAGCUAAUACCGGAUAAUAUAUUGAACCGCAUGGUUCAAUAGUGAAAGACGGUUUUGCUGUCACUUAUAGAUGGAUCCGCGCCGCAUUAGCUAGUUGGUAAGGUAACGGCUUACCAAGGCAACGAUGCGUAGCCGACCUGAGAGGGUGAUAGGCCACACUGGAACUGAGACACGGUCCAGACUCCUACGGAAGGCAGCAGUAGGGAAUCUUCCGCAAUGGGCGAAAGCCUGACGGAGCAACGCCGCGUGAGUGAUGAAGGUCUUCGGAUCGUAAAACUCUGUUAUUAGGGAAGAACAAAUGUGUAAGUAACUAUGCACGUCUUGACGUACCUAAUCAGAAAGCCACGGCUAACUACGUG
rnacentral:rRNA from 1 species